rnacentral:lncRNA from 1 species
ACCGACGAUCCUGCUUCGGCCGUCGACCCAGCACCGAUCAUGGUGGAUACGCCGGUCAUCCCCGAUCUUCCGUCGGUCGAGGAGAUCGACUCGGAAGGAUGACCGCGGUCUCGUCGGCUUUUAUCUUUUUUCGUUUUACUUCUUAGAACUAUUGUAACUGGGCUUCGGCCCGAUUUUGUAAACUCCUUUUGACCUUGAAUGAAAUCAGUCCUUUACUUUUUUCUCUGCUUGUUCUUCUUUCUCUUAUGUGUUGUUGAAUGCCUUCGUAAGUCGCUAACUCAUAUAGGUCGGUUAGGACGUUCGGCAACUCGUGCCGCCACGCAGGUAGGACAAGUCUCGACUUUGGACCGGCCUUCGGUGGUCGAGGUCGUAAGUCGGGC